rnacentral:misc_RNA from 1 species
GAUAAGUCAAGCCAGACUAAAUUGCGAUUCUCACAGGAAAAGUCGCUGCAGCAAAAGCAGAGGAGCUGGGGAUUGGGAAAGGGAAUGAGAAGCUCCAGUUCUCGCAGCUGAUGGGAAUGGCUGACGGGCUCUCGCUGGCACUACGAAAUGCGGGGUUUCAAGUGAGCAAGUACCUCCCUUUUGGACCAGUGGAGCAGGUGAUGCCCUACCUCCUGAGAAGAGCUGAGGAGAAUAGA